GAGGAUCCUGCGUCUGAUUAGCUAGUUGGCGGGGUAAUGGCCCACCAAGGCGACGAUCAGUAGCCGGCCUGAGAGGGUGAUCGGCCACACUGGAACUGAGACACGGUCCAGACUCCUACGGGAGGCAGCAGUGGGGAAUUUUGCGCAAUGGACGAAAGUCUGACGCAGCAACGCCGCGUGGGUGAUGAAGGUCUUCGGACUGUAAAACCCUGUCGUCAGGGACGAAGGUUGGGGGGUUAAUAACCCUUUAGCUUGACGGUACCUGGAGAGGAAGCCCCGGCUAACUCUGUGCCAGCAGCCGCGGUAAUACAGAGGGGGCAAGCGUUAUUCGGAAUUAUUGGGCGUAAAGGGCGCGUAGGCGGUUUUUUAAGUCAGAUGUGUAAUCCCCGAGCUUAACUUGGGAACUGCAUCUGAGACUGGAAGGCUAGAGUACUGGAGAGGGUGGUGGAAUUCCUCGUGUAGCGGUGAAAUGCGUAGAGAUGAGGAGGAACACCAGUGGCGAAGGCGGCCACCUGGACAGUAACUGACGCUGAGGCGCGAAAGUGUGGGUAGCAAACAGGAUUAGAU
rnacentral:rRNA from 1 species